AAAAAGUGUUGUUAAAUGAAUAAAUGUAAAUAGAAAACACUGAAGCAGCUAAAGUAGACCUUAAUGGAGCGCUGUGUUCCACACUUUUCACAAUUAAAAUUGUAAUUGUGAAAUUGAUUAUUUUUUCACUUAACAGUGCUGCCUGAUAAGGGACCAAAAAACGCAUGGCAAUUCUCUUUGCAGUUUAAAUGACACAGUGGUGGCAGCUCAUGUGGGUGGUCGGAUCCAAAGGCUGCAAGACAACAACACCUCUGUGGAAACAGCACACCGCUGAGUUGGACCGCUAUUGUGUGAACCCCAGUGGUGCAUCAGACCUGCGGUCGUCUUGUUUUUGAGCUGCAACACCGCAAUGGGUUGUUUGGGGGCUGCCACAUGUUCUUGCUGUUUUUUCUUAAUUCGCUUGUGUUUAUUUCCUGACGUCGCGUUUGUCUGUGUAUGUAGUCUGCAUUGUUGUGAACUCCACAAGUGUUGUGUUUGAUUAUGGACAUUUACAGCUGCUUAACCUUUCAUAACACUGCUGUGUCUCAUUAUGUUUCACUAUUUUUUGUGUUUUGUCAGAUUAAUUGCAGUGUGUAAUUGCAGCAUGCAGCUGUAGGGAAUGUUUUUUCCAGAUAGUUCUAGUUACGUUUACAGGGCUGACUGUUUUGUUUUGUCUUGUGCAUCUUGCUUGCGCACUCUCCCAUUGUCAUUCUAUCACUGCCUCUUGUUUUUUAUCCAUUGUCUUUCAGUCAACAAUGAUGGGUGGAGAAGUGUUUGCGUGUGCCUCCUUUAUCAAGUGCUCAUCAGAUGUUCUGUAAUGAUGGCACACUGACUGUGUCAGCUGUAAUGAUAUCUUGACUGUAAGUAUGAUAAUAGUCUUUCCUGCAAGGUAGUGGUGCAUUAAACAUGGGUGGCUUUUUUCCAUAAGGUGAGGAGGGAGAUACAGCAUUCUUGUUCUGAAGGGCCUAAUUAGGGCUGAAAUUUCAUUGUACAUAACUCUGUUGAAGCUUUAUGAAAAUGUAUGGACAUUUUACGACCUCUGAUCUCGGCUUCUCUGUUUCACCGUCUGCAUCUUGCUGAACGUAGGUUAUGGUGAAUGUUUAUUAGCUGAUAACUUUGCAAGUUUACUCUCAAGUAUGACUUGUGUGGGUUGAGUUUUGGUCGUCUUUUAACAGAAGCAGCGUUAGUGGGUUUUCUUUUGGCAGUCUCGGACGUGGUGUGAGGCUGGGAUCUGUGUGGUUUGUGUGCAAAAUCAUGAAACACUGUAAGAGGAAAUUUACAUGUCUGGCUCCAGUCGUUCCCCAAGUUUGUAAAUAGAAAAAAGAGAGGAAAAACAAAUAUAAUCACCCAGAUGCAUGAUAGACAUGUGACGUCUCAAGCUGAAGCUGUUAUCAGGGUAUGUGCUGUUAUCCUGAUAUUGUAUUGCAUUACAAAACGGGUUUAAAGACAACAUGUUUUUGCACAUAAUGACAAGUUGUAGUUAUUUUCUUUUAAAUGAGAUGGUCAUAAAGAGAAGAAUUUCAAAAAGAACCUUAGACAUUUAAGAAACUAACUAAUAAUUAAAAGCACAAAAAGUAAACAGAAACAUCUUUAAAAAUUUUAACAUUUGAAAAUAAAUAUAAAGUGAAAUGGAAGCUCAUGUGCAUUCUUGAUGUGUGAGAAUGUGUUAAAAUCUGGGUCCUAAGUUUCGUUUGAAUAAUUCCACAAGAAUUCAUUCUCCCCUGGCUCUGAUAAAUUUACUAUGUCACUUUAAUAAUUCCUUAGAAUAAAAACAUCCAGAGUACAGAGACGUGCACAUGCAGCGGCACACUAGAGGGAUCACUGUCAACUCUUGCAGAAGUGGAGCCAGUUAAUAUUUGCAUUUAGCAUUUGGAAUUCAGAUAAGCUAAAAAAUGAUUUCCUUGUAUGGUUUGGCAUGUUUGUUCUUAGCUGCUUUGGUUCUGAAUCAGGUGCUUUGUUAGUGUAUGUGUGUUCUGUCUACUGUGAUGUCUGUUCUUUUUGACAGCGCUGACUCAAAGGUGGCCACAGUAUAAUAAUAGCAGCAGCGAAGGAAAGGAAAAAUUGGAAGGAGAGCUGCAGAAUCUGUGCCAGCGGCGC
rnacentral:lncRNA from 1 species